GGCCCAACCUCCCACCCUUGUCUCUAUACACCUGUUGCUUUGGCGGGCCCACCGGGGUCACCUGGUCGCCGGGGGACGCACGUCCCCGGGCCCGCGCCCGCCGAAGCGCUCUGUGAACCCUGAUGAAGAUGGGCUGUCUGAGUACGAUGAAAAUCGUCAAAACUUUCAACAAUGGAUCUCUUGGUUCCGGCAUCGAUGAAGAACGCAGCGAAAUGCGAUAAGUAAUGUGAAUUGCANAAUUCCGUGAAUCAUCGAAUCUUUGAACGCACAUUGCGCCCCCUGGCAUUCCGGGGGGCAUGCCUGUCCGAGCGUCAUUUCUGCCCUCAAGCACGGCUUGUGUGUUGGGUGUGGUCCCCCCGGGGACCUGCCCGAAAGGCAGCGGCGGACGUCCGUCUGGUCCUCGAGCGCAUGGGGCUCUGUCACUCGCUCGGGAAGGACCUGCGGGGGUUGGUCACCACCACAUUUUACCACGGUUGACCUC
rnacentral:misc_RNA from 1 species